rnacentral:ncRNA from 2 species
GAUUUAUAAAGAAGAGGUGAGAGAGCAGGCUCCACGACCCUCUAGCAACCAGCAGUGCAGACUGAAAAGGUGCUAACUCCUGCCCAAUUUUGGGACAUAUAAAUU